rnacentral:piRNA from 1 species
UAUAAGAUUUGGUCUGGGGACUU